AUUGAACGCUGGCGGCAUGCCUUACACAUGCAAGUCGAACGGUAACAGGUCUUCGGAUGCUGACGAGUGGCGAACGGGUGAGUAAUACAUCGGAACGUGCCCGAUCGUGGGGGAUAACGAAGCGAAAGCUUUGCUAAUACCGCAUACGAUCUACGGAUGAAAGCAGGGGACCGCAAGGCCUUGCGCGAACGGAGGGGCCGAUGGCCGAAUAGGUAGUUGGUGGGAUAAAAGGUUAACAAGCCGACGAUCGGUAGCUGGGCUGAGAGGACGACCGGCCACACUGGGACGGGGACACGGCCCAGACUCCUACGGGAGGCAGCAGUGGGGAAUUUUGGACAAUGGGCGAAAGCCUGAUCCAGCCAUGCCGCGUGCAGGAUGAAGGCCUUCGGGUUGUAAACUGCUUUUGUACGGAACGAAAAGACUCUGGUUAAUACCUGGGGUCCAUGACGGUACCGUAAGAAUAAGCACCGGCUAACUACGUGCCAGCCGCCGCGGUAACAC
rnacentral:rRNA from 1 species